GAUGAAGAACGCAGCGAAAUGCGAUAAGUAAUGUGAAUUGCAGAAUUCAGUGAAUCAUCGAAUCUUUGAACGCUCAUUGCGCCCCCUGGUAUUCCGGGGGGCAUGCCUGUCCGAGCGUCAUUACAACCCUCAAGCUCAGCUUGGUGUUGGGCCCCGCCGCCCCGGCGGGCCCUAAAGUCAGUGGCGGUGCCGUCCGGCUCCGAGCGUAGUAAUUCUUCUCGCUCUGGAGGUCCGGUCGUGUGCUCGCCAGCAACCCCCAAUUUUUUUCAGGUUGACCUCGGAUCAGGUAGGGAUACCCGCUGAACUUAAGCAUACAAUAAGCGGAGGA
rnacentral:misc_RNA from 1 species